rnacentral:rRNA from 1 species
UACGUAGGGUGCGAGCGUUAAUCGGAAUUACUGGGCGUAAAGCGUGCGCAGGCGGUUUUGUAAGUCAGAUGUGAAAGCCCCGGGCUCAGCCUGGGAAUUGCAUUUGAAACUGCAAGGCUAGAGUGUGUCAGAGGGGGGUAGAAUUCCACGUGUAGCAGUGAAAUGCGUAGAGAUGUGGAGGAAUACCGAUGGCGAAGGCAGCCCCCUGGGAUAACACUGACGCUCAUGCACGAAAGCGUGGGGAGCAAACAGG